CCUACGGGAGGCAGCAGUGAGGAAUAUUGGUCAAUGGACGAGAGUCUGAACCAGCCAAGUAGCGUGAAGGAUGACUGCCCUAUGGGUUGUAAACUUCUUUUAUAUGGGAAUAAAAUGUUCCACGUGUGGGAUUUUGUAUGUACCAUAUGAAUAAGGAUCGGCUAAAUCCGUGCCAGCAGCCGCGGUAAUACGGAGGAUCCGAGCGUUAUCCGGAUUUAUUGGGUGUAAAGGGAGCGUAGGUGGAUUGGUAAGUCAGUUGUGAAAGUUUGCGGCUCAACCGUAGAAUUGCAGUUGAAACUGGCAGUCUUGAGUACAGUAGAGGUGGGCGGAAUUCGUGGUGUAGCGGUGAAAUGCUUAGAUAUCACGAAGAACUCCGAUUGCGAAGGCAGUUCACUGGACUGCAACUGACACUGAGGCUCGAAAGUGUGGGUAUCAAACAGGAUUAGAUACCCCUGUAGUC
rnacentral:rRNA from 1 species